rnacentral:pre_miRNA from 1 species
CAACUACUCCCUCUGUCCCAAAUUUCUUGUCUUAGAUUUGUCUAGAUACGGAUGUAUCUAAUACUAAAAUGUGACUUGAUACAUCUGUAUCUAGACAAAUCUAAGACAAAAAUUUUGGGACAGAGGGAGUACUUU